rnacentral:lncRNA from 1 species
GAAGCCGAUCAUAUGAAGAUCUCGUAAGUGAAGACUCUCCUUCUGUAGAACUACUUCUACAGGACUGCUCAUUAUCAUCAGAGUACAGAACAUGUUUAGCAUUUGGACGAGGAUUGGAACGAGAGUUUGGUACGGGGUUUCUCUUACUGGUAGCGUCAUUGCAAUUGUCAACCUCACUUUGCGGAGGGGCAAAAACAUCAGGAAUGUACUGAACUAUAUUCGUUCCUUUCAGAAGCGAGAAUUUCAGAACUUCCCGACAAGCACUGCAUCUCAGUCGAUGAAAUUUUUUCUCGAAUAAGAGGAAGUUUGCAGGUAGCUGCAAUAAUUCCGAACAUUUAUAACAGGUGAGAAGUGGGGCUCCACCAGCUAUAGGCCGGAUAUGUCGCUUUGCUACCUGAUAUCUCUCCCUCGAAUAUGACCUUUUCAUCUGGUCAUCCAAUAAUGAAACCUCAGAGC